rnacentral:pre_miRNA from 1 species
UAGGUACUCCCUCCGUCCCAAAAUUCUUGUCUUAGAUCUGUCUAGAUACGGAUGUAUCUAAUACUAAAACGUGACUUGAUACAUCCGUAUUUAGACAAAUUUAAGACAAGAAUUUUGGGACAGAGGGAGUAUCAU